rnacentral:rRNA from 1 species
UACGUAGGGUGCGAGCGUUAAUCGGAAUUACUGGGCGUAAAGCGUGCGCAGGCGGUUUUGUAAGCCGGAUGUGAAAUCCCCGGGCUUAACCUGGGAAUGGCAUUCGGGACUGCAAGGCUGGAGUGCGGCAGAGGAGACUGGAAUUCCUGGUGUAGCAGUGAAAUGCGUAGAUAUCAGGAGGAACACCACUGGCGAAGGCAGGUCUCUGGGCUGACACUGACGCUCAUGCACGAAAGCGUGGGGAGCAAACAGG